UGGUACGGAAAACUAGCACUUAGGCAGUGUUUGGCACUAAGCAAGCAUGAGUUCAAGUUUGCAUCAAACAUCAAUUCAUUAAAGCAGGCAAGCCCUGAGAGACGGAAUCACCUCGAGAAUUUUUACAAUCAUUGUUAUUCAUGAAAUUAUGUCGAACUUGGCAUAUACUAGAACUCUUGACAGAAUCAUUUGUUACAUCAGAAAGCACAAUAUUGCACUAAAAAAACAAAGAAAAAAGAAGAAGAAGAAGAAGAAGAAACUACAACCUUCCUCUUAUCAUUGUCAAUUCCGAGCUCUAAGAUAGAAGCAAUUUGGUACUAACAUCUCAACAAUUACAACAACAGAAAACUUCUCCAACUCGAUGCAUUAUUGAGGGUUUACUCGGGAACCCCAUUUUGUUUUUAUGUGCAGCUUGACAUUUGUGUUUUUGUCUAUGAUAUUAUAUGUUUUCAAAUGGACAGCGGUACUUAUCUUAAAUCUUCCUCUUAAUUAAUAAGAGGGACGAAGCUUUUGGUGACAAAGGAAAAGUUGUAAACUCAAGUGGUUGAGUGCAUAAAUUUUAGACUAUCACUGGCUCUCUACUGUCAAACGAGUGAAGUUUGUUGCUUAUUUUUUAAAUGGAGCUAUCUAACUUUAUGACAGGCUGUUGGACUUUCCUCUGCUCCAAAGACCAAAAUUGUAUGAAUCUCCAUGUUCUGUGUUGUAGUUAUAUUUUACACUAAUUCACAUUAUUUGAGGAUGUAAACGUAACAUUAAUUCCUCUGGUUAGUUCUUGUCCCCCAGUUAUACGGACUUGAAAGAUUCUUUUUUUUAUGGUGACAAGUCCAGAUAUCUUGAAUAUGCAAAGGAAAUGACAGUCAAGCGAGAAUAUGUUGAAGAAUUGAAUGACUCUUUUGAUUUAGUCCCACUUGAUGCUUGGCAUGAAAAUGGAAGAAAAGCAAGUACAGUCCAUUUCUCAUGGCAUGUUACAACCCCAGUGGUGAGGAAUUUCAGAGCAUUUGCCGUGUCAUGUCUGGAUUCUCAGAUUCCUUUUUAUGCAGAGUUUAAUGUAAGUUAUGUUGAUGAUACUUUUUUUGGUGAAUUUUUUUGAUAAUAAUUGGUAGUUCACAAAACGUACAUGUCAUUUCCGGAGCAUUGAUGAUAAUCUAGUGACUUAUUUAUCCUGUCUAGAGUUGCAUUAUCUUCUUUACAGUUGUUAAUUUUUUUAUUCGAGGAAGCCAUAGAUUGUCUCCUUUUUUAUUGCUUAUUAAUGCUCAUUGAUUGUUGUUGUCUUUAAACUUAAACAUACAGUGGUGCAAUUUCAAUUGAUACUGAUUAGAAAUUUCUUAAAGAAAUGUAAAAUAUUAAAUCCUCAAUAUAAAUGCUAAAAUGUUAAAAUAUGUAAAUUUUACUAUAGAGACAACAAAAUAUUUAAGAUCACUAUUAUGAGCUGAGUUUAUUAUUUAUGUGUUUUAGAGAGUAAAGCUGGUUCUUUGAUCUUGUUUUGGUGGUUGAGCUUUCAUGUAAACAAAUGCUUGUCGAGUGUUUUUUUUGGAUAAUCUUUCGUGCAAAUGGUCUUAAUUUUCAUAUUUAUAGGCCUAUUUUGCUCUGCAAUUUUGCCAGCCAAUAUUUCUUCUUUGGCAUUAUUUCAUAGUUUUUAAUGUUAUCCUCCAAAUAUUCUCUUUGUAAUUGAGUCUACUUGACAUCUAUGGAGAAUUUUGAAUAAAUAAAAUCCCAACCAUCAACAAUUUUUUCUCUUGCUCUCAUUCAGUAGAUUGGAGGGUCAUGAAAUUUUAUUUUAUUUUAUUUUAAGAGUAAAGGAUUACGAUGCCACACUUUUUGGUUUUAGGUUCGCUCUAAAAGUUUUGGUUGUUCUCCAGUCGACAAAUUUUAGUGUGCCCCAAUAAUUCUCUUUUGGCUUCAUCCUUUUUUUAAUUAAUUUUUGGGCUUCAUCCUUCGCUUCAUAAACAAUCUAAUUUGCUUUUCGGACGACAACAAUUCAAAAUUUGACUGACAUAUAUAAUGUCUUAAAAAUUCUUCUUGGUCGAUGUAUGCAGUGGUACCAUCUAUUUGGGAAGCAGCCGAGAAAUUUUCUAUUCUAGCAACAAAUAUUACUUCUGCUUUUAUACAAUCCACAUUUGAUUAGGUAUAGAAUAAUUAAUUAAUAUUAUAACAUUAUAUUUUGUAUGUAAUAAAUACAUAUGAUUGAUGCCAUAUGAUUUUUGUAUACUUAUGAGAGAAGCUUGUAGAGCUCCACACUUUAGGAAAGCAUCAUUUCAAUAAAAGUUAACCAUCUUUGUAUCGUCCAAUAAGCAAAAACAAUAGUAAUAAUAAUAAUAACAUGAAACCAUAAAAUUUCUCAUAUAAUUUUAAUUUUUUGCAGAUCGCAUACUCAAUUCCAUAUUUUUAUCUUUUAGGCAAAAAAUAAAAGUUAAGCCCACCAAAGACCCAAACUAAUAAAGUACAUCAAUUUUUUUAUUUAUUGAUUUUUGAUAAGAAAAUAAUGAAUUUUUGAUAAAUUAUUAAAAUUUAUAAUGGAAGUGUGGAUAUCAUUAAUUAGAAAAUUUUUGUUUUUUUUUUUUCCACUUAUAAAUCUAACCUUCAAUUUGUAUAUUUCAUGCUGCCAAUGAAAAAUAAAAGAUAAGAAAAAUAAAAUUGCAUACGAAUUAAAGAUUUAAAAGAAAAUAUAUGGUAUAACGCACAAAGAAAUUACAUUCGAAAACAGCAGCCAAAAAAAAAAAAAAUGCAUAUAAGAUUACGAGGAAGCCCUCUCUCCCGUCUAGG